rnacentral:rRNA from 1 species
UACGGAGGGUGCGAGCGUUGUCCGGAAUCACUGGGCGUAAAGGGCGCGUAGGCGGCGCGAGCAGUCGGCGGUGAAAGCCCCGGAGCUCAACUCCGGGUCGGCCGUCGAUACUCUCGUGCUUGAGCACUGUAGAGGCAGGUGGAAUUCCGGGUGUAGCGGUGGAAUGCGUAGAGAUCCGGAAGAACACCGGUGGCGAAGGCGGCCUGCUGGGCAGUAGCUGACGCUGAUGCGCGACAGCCGUGGGGGAGCAAACAGG